UACGAAGGGGGCUAGCGUUGCUCGGAAUUACUGGGCGUAAAGCGCACGUAGGCGGCUUCUUAAGUCGGUGGUGAAAUCCUGGAGCUCAACUCCAGAACUGCCUUCGAUACUGGGAGCUCGAGUCCGGGAGAGGUGAGUGGAACUGCGAGUGUAGAGGUGAAAUUCGUAGAUAUUCGCAAGAACACCAGUGGCGGAAGGCGGCUCACUGGCCCGGUACUGACGCUGAGGUGCGAAAGCGUGGGGGAGCAAACAGGG
rnacentral:rRNA from 1 species